CCCCUUUCCUCUUUGUUUUCCGACUACAUUCACCGGAUAAAUUUUAUUACGCGAAGAACCUUACCUGGUCUUGACAUCCACGGAAGUUUUCAGAGAUGAGAAUGUGCCUUCGGGAACCGUGAGACAGGUGCUGCAUGGCUGUCGUCAGCUCGUGUUGUGAAAUGUUGGGUUAAGUCCCGCAACGAGCGCAACCCUUAUCCUUUGUUGCCAGCGGUCCGGCCGGGAACUCAAAGGAGACUGCCAGUGAUAAACUGGAGGAAGGUGGGGAUGACGUCAAGUCAUCAUGGCCCUUACGACCAGGGCUACACACGUGCUACAAUGGCGCAUACAAAGAGAAGCGAYCUCGCGAGAGCAAGCGGACCUCAUAAAGUGCGUCGUAGUCCGGAUUGGAGUCUGCAACUCGACUCCAUGAAGUCGGAAUCGCUAGUAAUCGUGGAUCAGAAUGCCACGGUGAAUACGUUCCCGGGCCUUGUACACACCGCCCGUCACACCAUGGGAGUGGGUUGCAAAAGAAGUAGGUAGCUUAACCUUCGGGAGGGCGCUUACCACUUUGUGAUUCAUGACUGGGGUGAAGUCGUAACAAGGUAACCGUAGGGGAACCUGCGGUUGGAUCACCUCCUUA
rnacentral:rRNA from 1 species